rnacentral:rRNA from 1 species
UACGUAGGGUGCAAGCGUUAAUCGGAAUUACUGGGCGUAAAGCGUGCGCAGGCGGCUUUGCAAGACAGAUGUGAAAUCCCCGGGCUCAACCUGGGAACUGCAUUUGUGACUGCAUGGCUAGAGUACGGUAGAGGGGAAUGGAAUUCCGCGUGUAGCAGUGAAAUGCGUAGAUAUGCGGAGGAACACCGAUGGCGAAGGCAAUCCCCUGGACCUGUACUGACGCUCAUGCACGAAAGCGUGGGGAGCAAACAGG